rnacentral:rRNA from 1 species
GAGUCCAGAGUGGUAAUGCACUCGGCAAACGGCUCAGUAACACGUGGGUAAUCUACCAUCAGGACAGGGAUAACCCCGGAAAACUGGGGAUAAUACCUGAUAGGUGGAGAAGUCUGGAACGACUCUCCGCUCAAAUGCUCCGGCGCCUGAUGAUGAGCCUGCGACCGAUUAGGUUGUUGGCGGUGUAAUGGACCACCAAGCCUGAGAUCGGUACGGGUGUUGAGAGACAGUGCCCGGAGAUGGGGACUGAGACACGGCCCCAGGCCCUACGGGGCGCAGCAGGCGCGAAAACUCCGCAAUACACGAAAGUGUGACGGGGGAACCCCGAGUGCGCUCACGCAAGUGAGUGCUUUUGUGAAGUGUAAAUAGCUUCACGAAUAAAAGCUGGGUAAGACCGGUGCCAGCCGCCGCGGUAACACCGGCAGCUUGAGUGGUGAUCACUAUUAUUGGGCCUAAAGCGUCCGUAGCCUGUUUGGUAAGUCCUUGGGCAAAUCCUGUCGCUUAACGGCAGGAAUUCUGAGGAUACUACCAGACUUGAGGUCGAGAGAGGUCGGAGGUACUCCUGGGGUAGCGGUGAAAUGCUAUAAUCCUGGGGGGACCACCAGUGGCGAAAGCGUCCGACCAGAGCGAGCCUGACGGUAAGGGACGAAAGCCAGGGGAGCGAACGGGAUUAGAUACCCCGGUAGUCCUGGCCGUAAACGCUGUGGGCUAGGUGUUGCAUGCUCUACGAGGGCAUGCAGUGCCGAAGAGAAGUUGAUAAGCCUACCGCCUGGGAAGUACUAUCGCAAGAUAGAAACUUAAAGGAAUUG